GACAGCCAAUGCAGGAGGGUCUGGGGCACUGAAGAAGGACUAGUGUGGAGAAGGCAGGGAAUAGAUAAUACCUGAGGAGGAGAAUGAAUGGGCACAUGGAUAGAUGGCUGGCUGGGUAGCUGGCUGGCUGGCUGGCUGGAUGAAUGGAUGAAUGGAUGACUGGCUAAAUAAGGUUUGUACCAAAGGCUGUGGGAACACAAAGAAGGGAUCAUUAAUUUUGUCAGAGGCAGUCAAGGAAGACUUUGUAGAGAGUGACCUCUGAGUUGUACUUUAACAGCUGUGUUGGAAAGUUCAGGUGAGAGAGGAAAGGAACGGUGUUCAAGACAGAGGGAACAGCAGCCGCAAAGAUGUGGAAGCUUGAAGACCCCUGAAAACUUUGCUGAGUUUGGGCCACAGGUUACACGGGAGCAAAUGGGGCAGGUAUGAGGCUGACACCGUGGGUUGGGGUGAGAUAUGAAGGCAUGUGGUCAGGUUAAAGGGUCCAGACUUAAUUCAUUGGGCAAUUGAGAAAAAACAGAGGACUUGGAGCAUAGGUGUGAAACAUCAGAUUUUAGAAAGACAUAUCAGUAGACAAUCACUGUAUUUCAGGCUUUAGUGAUUCCUCACUUGGUCCAUGAUACAAGCCUCCAUGUCACACUUUGCUUGCUGCUUUGUAUAUCUGCUCAGCUGAGGCAUUUUUACAUAACCGUAUGUUAAAAGGGUCAUUAUUCCCACUGUACAGUUGGCGAAAGAGAAUCUCAGGGAGCUUAAAAAGAAUACCCUUUGGCAAAGCCAAGAUUCACACCGAAGUCUGUUGGAUCACCAAGUCUGUGUUUCAUUAUACUGAAUUAGAAGAUAAUAACAACGAGAAAGAAAAAAUGUGACAUCCAGGUGGAAAUACCCAAUAGAUGCCUUGGCAAAGUGAACCACGGGCUUCAGAGGAGUCAAGGCUAUAUCAAGGUCAACACCUCAUCCAGUGCUGUGCUGGGGGCAGCUCACACCAGCUCCAGGGAAGCAACUAUUAAAUAUUCUGAAAUUUUGCAAGCCAGUUGGGGGUGCCAGAAAUCACAUGGCCACACCUAGUACAAUGCGACAAGGAUGCAUAAUCUUCCCCCAGAGACAGCAAAAUGAGAGUGCUAGUACUACACAGCACACCGUCUCCUAAAGAAACUGAGGGGAAGCAAUCCGCCUGAUCAAGUAGCUCAUUAGUGGCAGAAUCAGCCUUUAAACAUCGUCAGACUCCAGGUUUGAGGAUUCCUUCCAGCACACCACAGCUGUUUCUAGGUCUCACUCUGGGACAGAGGCACCUGCCCUGAUCCACGCUUUCUGCCACUCUCCAGGAAUA
rnacentral:lncRNA from 1 species